rnacentral:rRNA from 1 species
UACAGAGGUCUCAAGCGUUGUUCGGAUUCAUUGGGCGUAAAGGGUGCGUAGGCGGCUCGUUGCGUCGGCUGUGAAAACCCGCAGCUCAACUGUGGGCUUGCAGCCGAUACGGGCGGGCUGGAGUUCGGUAGGGGAGACUGGAAUUCCUGGUGUAGCGGUGAAAUGCGCAGAUAUCAGGAGGAACACCGGUGGCGAAGGCGGGUCUCUGGGCCGAUACUGACGCUGAGGAGCGAAAGCGUGGGGAGCGAACAGG